UGGGGAAUCUUCCGCAAUGGGCGCAAGCCUGACGGAGCAAUGCCGCGUGAGUGACGAAGGCCUUCGGGUUGUAAAACUCUGUCCUUAGGGAAGAACGGUCUAUAUGUGAAUAAUGUAUAGAAAUGACGGUACCUAAGGAGGAAGCCCCGGCUAACUACGUGCCAGCAGCCGCGGUAACACGUAGGGGGCGAGCGUUGUCCGGAAUCACUGGGCGUAAAGAGCACGUAGGCGGAUUAUUAAGUCAGAUGUGAAAACUCUGGGCUCAACCUAGAGACUGCAUCUGAAACUGGUAGUCUUGAGUAUAGAAGAGGAGAGUGGAAUUCCUAGUGUAGCGGUGAAAUGCGUAGAUAUUAGGAGGAACACCAGUGGCGAAGGCGACUCUCUGGUCUAUAACUGACGCUGAGGUGCGAAAGCGUGGGGAGCAAACAGG
rnacentral:rRNA from 1 species